AUUCCAACCUGGUCACCAGUUUAAUUUACUUUUGGCAUACUGUCAUACAGAGAAGCAACUGUCGGCGUUUUUAAACGGCGAACUGUUCUUUAAUCGUGUAAUUAAACCAGGUAGAAGAACUUAAGGCAAGGAUCCGUCAGGAUGACACUUAAAAUUCAUGUAGUAUACUGCGGUGCAUGAGGAUACGCUCCCAAGUUUCGCAAAAUUAAAGCGGAACUUGAGAAAGAAUUUCCCAAUGAGUUAGAAAUAACAGGGGAAGGCACUCCUGGCACAACAGGUUGGCUGGAGGUCCAGGUGGUAGGGGGUGAUCUUCUCCAUUCCAAAAAGAAUGGGGAUGGAUAUGUUGACACAGAUGCCAAGAUGGAGAAGAUCAAGGCUGGUGUCAGGAA